CUCAGCAGCUUUUGCCUUUUCCCACCGCCAUUGACUGCUGAACCCCCUCCUUCCCUUUAUAUUCCUUUAUGCUUUCUACUGGAAAGAAAAUUCAUAGGAGAAAUAGAGAAGAACAGAAAUAGAGAGAGAGCAUGCGUGAGAAAGAGAAGGGGAGAAGGGAGUGAAUGAGCUUUGGGUUUAGCUUGCCAGGAAGGAUAUACAGGGUUGCCAUUAGUUGGGGGCUGAAGAGACUGAGACUAUACCUCUGGAAGGCUCGACUCAUUAAAUUAUCAUUUUCAGGAGUCUUUAUGAGCUAGAAGCUAGACUAGCCGCACAGGAGGACUUUUGGAUAACGGGGAUCAGCGCGAAGGAUUUUUGGCAAGUAGGCCCACUCAUAGUAUAGGUAGUAAGUUUUCGUAAAUGUUACAAUCAUGUUACGACCUAAAACUUUUGUUUAGUUAGUUUAGUGGUAUGAUUGCAGUAGAAUACUCUCUUGAGAGUUAUAUAUGUACAUUAGAAUCUGUUAGAUUGGUUUUAUGUUUAUGUAGAGCCUGCCGAGUUGGUUUAAAGGUUUGGUGUGUUAUAGAAGCAUAUUAUAUACAUAUGAAACGUGUGUAUGACAAUGGAUAACGAGGAAAUAUAGGGAAACUCUUUUAAAA